rnacentral:rRNA from 1 species
CCUACGGGAGGCUGCAGUGAGGAAUAUUGGUCAAUGGACGAGAGUCUGAACCAGCCAAGUAGCGUGAAGGAUGACUGCCCUAUGGGUUGUAAACUUCUUUUAUAAAGGAAUAAAGUGAGGCACGUGUGCCUUUUUGUAUGUACUUUAUGAAUAAGGAUCGGCUAACUCCGUGCCAGCAGCCGCGGUAAUACGGAGGAUCCGAGCGUUAUCCGGAUUUAUUGGGUUUAAAGGGAGCGUAGAUGGGUUGUUAAGUCAGUUUUGAAAGUUUGCGGCUCAACCGUAAAAUUGCAAUUGAUACUGGCAGCCUUGAGUACAGUUGAGGUAGGCGGAAUUCGUGGUGUAGCGGUGAAAUGCAUAGAUAUCACACAGAACACCGAUUGCGAAGGCAUCUCACGAAUCCGCGAUUGACGCUGAUGCACGAAAGCGUGGGUAUCAAACAGGAUUAGAUACCCUAGUAGUC